UACGGAGGGUGCAAGCGUUAUCCGGAUUCACUGGGUUUAAAGGGAGCGUAGGUGGGCUUGUAAGUCAGUGGUGAAAUCUCCGUGCUUAACACGGAAACUGCCAUUGAUACUAUAGGUCUUGAAUAAUUCUGGAGGUUAGCGGAAUAUGUCAUGUAGCGGUAGAAAUGCUUAGAUAUGACAUAGAACACCGAUUGCGAAGGCAGCUAACUACAGGGUUAUUGACACUGAGGCUCGAAAGCGUGGGGAUCAAACAGGG
rnacentral:rRNA from 1 species